GACGAACGCUGGCGGCGUGCCUAACACAUGCAAGUCAACUUGACGGAAGGAGCAAUCUGACCGUAGAGUGGCGCAAGGGUGCGUAACGCGUAAGUAACUUGCCCCAAGGUAAGGAAUAACGUCGAGAAAUCGGCGCUAAUACCUCAUAAUGCAGCGGAUCCGCAUGGAUAUGUUGUUAAAGGUUUACCGCCUUGGGAUAGGCUUGCGUCUGAUUAGCUAGUUGGUGUGGUAACGGCACACCAAGGCUACGAUCAGUAACUGGUCUGAGAGGAUGAUCAGUCACACUGGAACUGAGACACGGUCCAGACUCCUACGGGAGGCAGCAGUGAGGAAUAUUGGGCAAUGCUCGAAAGAGUGACCCAGCAACGCCGCGUGGAGGAUGAAGGUAUUCUAUAUCGUAAACUCCUGUGAGAGCAGACGAAAGACAGAUUAUUAAUACUGGAUGACUGUAUGCUCAGAGGAAGCCCCGGC
rnacentral:rRNA from 1 species